GACGAACGCUGGCGGCGUGCUUAACACAUGCAAGUCGAACGGAAAGGCCCUGCUUUUGUGGGGUGCUCGAGUGGCGAACGGGUGAGUAACACGUGAGUAACCUGCCCUUGACUUUGGGAUAACUUCAGGAAACUGGGGCUAAUACCGGAUAGGAGCUCCUGCUGCAUGGUGGGGGUUGGAAAGUUUCGGCGGUUGGGGAUGGACUCGCGGCUUAUCAGCUUGUUGGUGGGGUAGUGGCUUACCAAGGCUUUGACGGGUAGCCGGCCUGAGAGGGUGACCGGCCACAAUGGGACUGAGAGACGGCGCAGACGCGUACGGGAGGCAGUAGUGGGGAAUAUUGCACAAUGGGCGGAAGCCUGAUGCAGCAACGCCGCGUGCGGGAUGACGGCCUUCGGGUUGUAAACCGCUUUCGCCUGUGACGAAGCGUGAGUGACGGUAAUGGGUAAAGAAGCACCGGCUAACUACGUG
rnacentral:rRNA from 1 species